GGGCGAAAGCCUGACCCAGCAACGCCGCGUGAAGGAUGAAGUAUUUCGGUAUGUAAACUUCGAAGGAAUGGGAAGAAUAAAUGACGGUACCAUUUAUAAGCUCCGGCUAACUACGUGCCAGCAGCCGCGGUAAUACGGAGGGUGCAAGCGUUGUCCGGAUUUAUUGGGUUUAAAGGGUGCGUAGGCGGCCUUAUAAGUCAGUGGUGAAAGCCCACAGCUCAACUGUGGAACUGCCAUUGAUACUGUAAGGCUUGAGUACAGACGAGGUAGGCGGAAUUGAUGGUGUAGCGGUGAAAUGCAUAGAUACCAUCAAGAACACCGAUUGCGUAGGCAGCUUACUAGGCUGUAACUGACGCUGAGGCACGAAAGCGUGGGGAGCGAACAGGAUUAGAUACCCUGGUAGUCCACGCUGUAAACGAUGAUUACUCGAAUGUUGGCGAUACACAGUCAGCGUCUUAGCGAAAGCGUUAAGUAAUCCACCUGGGGAGUACGCCCGCAAGGGUGAAACUCAAAGGAAUUG
rnacentral:rRNA from 1 species